AACCAGUCAAAAAAGACUAUAUACUGUUUAUUCCAUUUUAAUAAAACUAUAGAAAAUGAAAAUCUUUGGUGAUAUAAAACAAACUAGUAGUGAGGAAGAGAGGCCUGGGAGGGAAAUUACAAAGGUAUGUGAAGCAACUUUUGGGAGUGAUAGAAAUAUUUACUAUAUUGAUUGCUAUGAUGGUUUCAUGGACAUAUACAUAUGCAAAAACAUGUUCUACACUUCAAAUAUGUGGAAUUUUUGUAGGUUACUUACAUAGCAAUAAGCCUGCUCAAAAAAGUAAGUCAAGCAAUGGAGGGUACCAAGAUUUUACUUGCAUAUGACUGUUCUCUAUCUAGCCUGCAAACAGGUGCACACAAAAGCUACAUCUUUAACUGGAGCUUGCCAGGCAACACCUCUGCAACAUUAUGCAAAUCACUGUGAGAAAGAGACAAUAAUUAUGUUAAAAACCACCAAAAUAUGUUUGUUUCCACACACUUUUUUUUUAAUUCCCAGAUCUGGGCUGUCUACAGUAUGUGCCUGCCAGUUAACCUAACUUGGGGCUUUUCACUUUGGUUUAAAGAAUCUGAAAUUGAGCUCUGCCCAAGUUAAGUGCAUGUGGUGAUUCAUGUGCAUGGAAAGUACCUUGGGCUGACCACAAACUAGAGUUCCCUACAACUACAUCAAUGUCAAAACUAACCGCUGUCUCCUAGGUUGUUUGUUUAAAAAAAAAAUCCCAUGGUCUUCAAUUUGAUCAUUUAAAAAUAAUCUACAAGGUAUACUUCUUUUCUGUUCUUGUUAUUUCCUAACUUUUAAGAUUUCUAUUUUUUCACCCUGUAGAUCUUAUUCUCACUAGGGAAUAAUUUCUACAUUAUGCUCAGGCUCCUCUGAGCUAUGAAGAGGCCCAGAUUUAAGAGCUGUUCUUGACACCCUAAAUGUGCCAGGACAAGUCGUUAAGGUGGUCCUGCCAGGACACAGUCAUCAAAAACAGCAAUCUGCUUCUUGCCAGAAAGUCUUGUGCCUCUGCAGACCCUUUUCCAGAAUGAACCACACCAUGCUGAGAAACAGAGAAAGAGACCACCUACUGCAUUUCUGUCCCUUGCUGAAAAGGACACUCUGUCAGAGAAUCUUCUAGCAAACUUCAAAGAGCAAAAUCACCCUUUGUUAUGGAUAAAGUCCAGAGAGCUUCAGCAGCUAACAUUCCCUGGACAGGGUACAGCAAGGAUUUGAACCUCGGCCAGUCUGGCCAGAAUACUCACAAGCUUUCCUUAACUCAGUGGGCUAUCUCCCCAAGACUAGGUCACUACUGCUUUAUAAUCACCUUUGUAGCCACCAGUGGAUUUUGCUCAUCAGUAUUUUCCAGGUAAUUGAUACUUUAGAUGUUCAGCUGCAAGACGUAUGCAGUUUUCAUUGACAUCUUUUGGAGAAACUGACAAACCUGGGCUUGACUUAAUGCCUUUGGAACCUUCCAAGAUGUUAUAUAACUCUAGAUAGAAGGCUGGGCCUCCACGAUGUCAGGAACGUUGCGUUCUUAUUUCGCCAUAGAUAAACCCAUUUGUCCACAAAGUCAAGGAGUCAGGCAGAGGCCCUUGCCAUGAGGCUUUUUAGGAUGGAGUAACAUGCUUGGACUUUGCUCUAUGACACAGUUUUGCAUAGGGAGUGGUAUGACCAGAUCCCUCAAGAAAGAAAGCUUAGAGACCAGGCCAGAAUCCACUGCAGUAGCCCAGUCAAGAGAGGAUGGUGACGUGAACUUUAGUAGAGCCGUUAAAAUGAAAGAAAUUGACACAUUCAGAAAUGGUUUUAGAGGUCGAGUCAAACUGGACCUGAUAAAGAACUAGAGAAACGGAGUGAGGAUAAAGAGAAGAACCAUGACUGACUCGGAAGAUUUCGUCUUGAGAAACUUGAGAACUCAAGACAGAGUGAAAUAAAAUCACGUGGGAAAAAUCUCCCGCUUUGUUUUGGACAACUUUGAAGUGAAAUGCCUGUUAAGUCUAAGUGGGGUAGGCCACGGCAUACAUGAGUGUGGGCUAGGGAUGGAUACAGGCAUUAGUUGUGAGCAAAUAGAACUUAAAGCCAUGAGAGAAGAAGGGGUCACCAAGAGAGACAGUGUGGCAUAGAGAAGAAAAGGGGUGGGAGAUGACCCCUGGACAGAAAAGUCCUUAGAAUAGAGGCAACAGGCAUGACCAAGAAGACUAAGAGAGAACAUUCAGUACAGCAGAAGGAGAGCAAAGAGCGUGUGGUGUUCUAGAAGCAAAGAGAAUAAAGGGCUUCAGGAAGGAGCAGUCGAGUGUGUCAAAUAAGAUAAAGACAGACAAGUCCCCUGGAUUGGGUAGGAAUAAAUAACAGCAGGCUGCCAUACAAAUGGUUGCAUCUACACCAUCUAAAAGAAUAUUGUUUAUUCUCCAUACAUUUAAUAAACACCUGCCAUAUCCCAGGUAUCCUUUCAAGCACUGAAAUGCAGAGAUUCAUAAAACAUGGUCUCUGCUCUGGAGGAGCUGACAGUGGUGAGGAGGAAACAGGCAAUAGUGAGUGUUCUCAUUGCAUUUUUGACCCCAUUGAUCUUGCAACAGCCCCAUGCAUCAGUUAUUGCCAUUAUACCAUUUUACCAAUAAGGAAACUGUGACAGGGAGGGGUCAAGCACCUUGGGUAUUUGACAGCAAAACCAAGGCUUGGUGGUAACAUAAAACUUCCAAGUAGUAAUUCACAAAGGUGACUGGGAAAUGGAAAUGACCAGAAAUCUUUGUACUAUGAGGACAAGUUCAUCUGAAAUACAGAUGGACUUAGGAUGACACUGAUACCUUCUUGUCCAGGUGGUAUAGCUCCAGACCAAAUGUCUGCUGCCACCUACCCAAAAACUUGUUGGGUAAAAAUGGCUACACCUAUAGUCAAAUGAUUUUUGACAAAGGUGCCAAACAGUUAGAUGGG